rnacentral:rRNA from 1 species
UACGUAGGGGGCAAGCGUUGUCCGGAUUCAUUGGGCGUAAAGAGCGUGUAGGCGGCCAGGUAGGUCGGUUGUGAAAACUGGAGGCUCAACCUUCAGAGGUCGACCGAAACCAUCUGGCUAGAGUCCGGGAGAGGAGAGUGGAAUUCCUGGUGUAGCGGUGAAAUGCGUAGAUAUCGGGAGGAACACCUGUGGCGAAGGCGGCCCCCUGGUUGGAUACUGACGCUGAGACGCGAAAGCGUGGGGAGCAAACAGG